AUUGAACGCUGGCGGAAUGCUUUACACAUGCAAGUCGAACGGUAGAGGGGGCAACCCCUCGAGAGUGGCGAACGGGUGAGUAAUAUAUCGGAACGUGCCCAGUCGUGGGGGAUAACGUAGCGAAAGUUACGCUAAUACCGCAUACGAUCUAAGGAUGAAAGCGGGGGAUCGCAAGACCUCGCGCGAUUGGAGCGGCCGAUAUCAGAUUAGGUAGUUGGUGGGGUAAAGGCUCACCAAGCCAACGAUCUGUAGCUGGUCUGAGAGGACGACCGACCAGACCGGAACGGGGACACGGUCCAGACUCCUACGGGAGGCAGCAGUGGGGAAUUUUGGACAAUGGACGCAAGUCUGAUCCAGCCAUUCCGCGUGCAGGAUGAAGGCCCUCGGGUUGUAAACUGCUUUUGUACGGAACGAAAAGGUCUCUCUUAAUACGGGGGGCUCAUGACGGUACCGUAAGAAUAAGCACCGGCUAACUACGUGCCAGCCGCCGCCGUAA
rnacentral:rRNA from 1 species